rnacentral:rRNA from 1 species
AUUGAACGCUGGCGGCAUGCCUAACACAUGCAAGUCGAACGGAGGUAGGGGCAACUCUACUUCAGUGGCGGACGGGUGAGGAAUGCGUCGGAAUCUACCCUAUGGUGGGGGAUAACACAGGGAAACUUGUGCUAAUACCGCAUAAUGUCGAGAGACCAAAGCAGGGGACCGCAAGGCCUUGCGCGAUAGGAUGAGCCGACGCCCGAUUAGCUAGUUGGUAGGGUAAAGGCCUACCAAGGCGACGAUCGGUAGCUGGUCUGAGAGGAUGAUCAGCCACACUGGGACUGAGACACGGCCCAGACUCCUACGGGAGGCAGCAGUGGGGAAUAUUGGACAAUGGGCGCAAGCCUGAUCCAGCAAUGCCGCGUGUGUGAAGAAGGCCUGCGGGUUGUAAAGCACUUUUGUUCGGGAAGAAAUCAUGCUGGUUAAUACCUGGUAUGGAUGACGGUACCGCAUAAGAAGCACCGGCUAACUACGUGCCAGCAGCCGCGG